ensembl:processed_transcript
AGGCUGAGCAGGAAUGGCAAUGUGGACCUCUGUGAUGGGACAACUGGUGGGAUCUCACAUCCAGUUCUGUGUCAAAGGAGGAUGAAGACUAAGGUGAGUACUGAAAUAGUCUAGUGAGAAGAUAGGUUGAAAGGACAGUGCCACAAUGAUGACAUCAUAUUUGCUACUCUUGACAGCUGGGGUGACGAUAGCUUUAAACCACCAUAAUUAAAACUGAGGCACACAGAAUAAUGAUUCGGGGCUAACUAUAGAGUAAGCAGUAUUUACAUAGACUUUUUUCCCCCAGGACUCAUGAGGAAGCUGGAUUACUGGACGAGAGCAAUGUAAGCAAUUUUUUUGUAUGCAUGUGGUCCCACUACAAGAGGCCCCUCAACCCACACAUCAAUGUAGAGUUCCAUGAAAGCAAUUGUAGAGAAGAGUGGGUGGGAGAUCUGAAGCCAGACAGGGCAUUGUGUGUCUAGGUAUCUGAAGAGGCUGGUUCUUGAUAACUCUGGGAGCUAGUGUGAUUGAACACAGGAUUUAUAAUUGUGCUAUUUAGACCAGAUUUGGUGGGCACUUUCCCUAUCUUAAGUGCUGAGUCAGGUCUAACAGGGCAGUUUUAACUAUUUGUUUGAUCUUGUAGGUUCUAGAAGGGAAGACCAGAAAAUGAGAUGGUAAGUGAAACUAAAGGAAUUGUAGAUGCUAAACAGGCCAAACAAAUGGCUUGGCAUUGUUGCACUUUUUGGCAAAGUACUCCUGGUCAUAUCUUUGACCACAGCCUGCAUGAUGACAAGCAAAUGCUGACUAAUGUGAAGAUCUUAUUAGCUCUAUCUGAUGCUGGGCUUGCUUGGCAUUUAUUAUGGGGCAAGCUCAAUCUGUUGACUGCAUUAAAAAGCUCUUAAUAUUUUUUAGGUGGAGUUUAAUAAGGCUGGACAGACAGUUUUGAAAGUAAGUAUUGAAAAAUGCUUGAAUCUAGGCCAAUAAAAAGGGACAUGCAGAGAUUUUAAAUCCAUCAAAACUCCAGCAUGCAUUGUCUUUGGGUGUUUAGAUAGGUGUAUUUUGCACAACACUCGGGGUUUUUGUAAUGAUGUUGAUCAAAUGUCUGAGCUGAAUGUAACUUGUAGACAAUUUCUAACACUGAAGAACCCUGUGGCAGGCAACUAAAAAUAGUUGAGUGAUGCUUAGCAUAUUUGUAAGAGGUAUUUUCUUUUAAUUCCAGUCACUGUGGUUGCAUGCUUUCAUUUGGAUGGCUUGCCUUGGGUAAGAAGCCAUUGGGGGCCUUGAGUUCAAGAUUAAUUAUAUCCAGCCAUUUGCAAUAUGUGAGAUUUAGCUUUUGGAACAUGCAUGUGUUACCAUCAGUACUAAAUUGCCCUAAAUUUUUUUCAGACACAAAUGGUUUGAAUAAAGAAAGGUAUUACACAUGGAUCCCCUCAGUUGAAGGCACUGAUGGGUCUUUCUGAAUUUCUGGUCCUUCUGAAUUUCAAGGGCUCCUGUGACAAGUAGACAUGGCAGUGACUUCACCAUUUUGUUUCUGAGGUGCCUGGAUGGAGACUCAAAUAGAAGAUGGUGUCAGAUACAUUGUGUUGUCAAGAUUUUACCAUUAAAGUGUGUUAUAAACAUGAA